UCCGCGCUAAAUUCUGGUGCCAGCAGGCGCGGUAAUACCAGGGCAGCGAGCCCACCAGAUUGUUACUGCGAUUAAAGGUUCCUAGCCUGCCUAUAGGCGUGUGCGAUGCUUUCCGUAAGGGAGUAUCUGUGUGCGCCAGACUGGGGGACUGCGCUUGAAUCUAAGUGCCUAAGGUGCCGUGUUGCCCAAGCUGCCUUCGGGUGGUGCGGGCUGCGGAGGGUCCGCGCACUAUCCCCCUUUCUUAGGAAUGGCAAGGAGAAGUUCGACGAUGGGAGUAUUGGUUGACGAGAGGUGGAAUACGCUGACUCAACCAGGACUACCGGUGGCGAAAGCGCCCAUCGAGGACCUGCUCGUCGGCCAAGGACCAAAGUUGGG
rnacentral:rRNA from 1 species